GAAAGUAGCUCAGGGGUAGAGCAUCACCUUGCCAAGGUGGAGGUCGUGGGUUCAAAUCCCAUCUUUC
rnacentral:tRNA from 2 species